UACGUAGGGUGCAGGCGUUAAUCGGAAUUACUGGGCGUAAAGCGUGCGCAGGCGGUGAUGUAAGACAGAUGUGAAAUCCCCGGGCUCAACCUGGGACCUGCAUUUGUGACUGCAUCGCUAGAGUACGGUAGAGGGGGAUGGAAUUCCGCGUGUAGCAGUGAAAUGCGUAGAUAUGCGGAGGAACACCGAUGGCGAAGGCAAUCCCCUGGACCUGUACUGACGCUCAUGCACGAAAGCGUGGGGAGCAAACAGG
rnacentral:rRNA from 1 species